CCCCGGUAAACGGCGGCCGUAACUAUAACGGUCCUAAGGUAGCGAAAUUCCUUGUCGGGUAAGUUCCGACCUGCACGAAUGGCGUAAUGAUGGCCAGGCUGUCUCCACCCGAGACUCAGUGAAAUUGAACUCGCUGUGAAGAUGCAGUGUACCCGCGGCAAGACGGAAAGACCCCGUGAACCUUUACUAUAGCUUGACACUGAACAUUGAGCCUUGAUGUGUAGGAUAGGUGGGAGGCUUUGAAGUGUGGACGCCAGUCUGCAUGGAGCCGACCUUGAAAUACCACCCUUUAAUGUUUGAUGUUCUAACGUGGACCCGUAAUCCGGGUUGCGGACAGUGUCUGGUGGGUAGUUUGACUGGGGCGGUCUCCUCCUAAAGAGUAACGGAGGAGCACGAAGGUUGGCUAAUCCUGGUCGGACAUCAGGAGGUUAGUGCAAUGGCAUAAGCCAGCUUGACUGCGAGCGUGACGGCGCGAGCAGGUGCGAAAGCAGGUCAUAGUGAUCCGGUGGUUCUGAAUGGAAGGGCCAUCGCUCAACGGAUAAAAGGUACUCCGGGGAUAACAGGCUGAUACCGCCCAAGAGUUCAUAUCGACGGCGGUGUUUGGCACCUCGAUGUCGGC
rnacentral:rRNA from 1 species